GAGAGGUGGCUGAGUGGUCGAAAGCGCCGGUUUCGAAAACCGGUGGGCUCGUGAGGGUCCCGCAGGUUCGAAUCCUGUCCUCUCC
rnacentral:tRNA from 1 species